UACGUAGGGUGCAAGCGUUGUCCGGAAUUAUUGGGCGUAAAGGGUGCGUAGGUGGUUGUUUAAGUCUGCUGUGAAAGCCCCGGGCUCAACCUGGGAAUGGCAGUGGAUACUGGACAGCUAGAGUGCGGUAGAGGGUAGUGGAAUUCCCGGUGUAGCAGUGAAAUGCGUAGAGAUCGGGAGGAACACCAGUGGCGAAGGCGGCUACCUGGACCAGCACUGACACUGAAGCACGAAAGCGUGGGGAGCAAACAGG
rnacentral:rRNA from 1 species